UUAUAUAAAAAAACCACCAAUAAGAGGAGGAUGCAAAUGAGGCAAAUUAGAAGGAUGAUGAAGAAAGUGAUUGCUGUGGUUUCAAAGCUCAUAGGUUUAGCUAGAAGACUCAUCCACUCUCACAAUCACAGACUGUCCAAAUAUUCUUUUCCAGCUCAAUUUGAAUGCAGUUCUCUUGUUCUUUAAGUUUUCUAGAAACAGAGGAAUAAAAAGCUGUUUUCUUUGUUGUUCUUUUGGUCAGUUCAGCUUCAUGAAAGAUGCUCUGCUUGUUGCAGAGUUGACUCACACUGGCUAAUUUCUCUCCAUAACUGUGGUGGGGGCUGAGGUGGCCAGAGGGGAGACUGAGCUGGGACAUGUGUGAUCACGCAGCUCACCUCCCUCACCCCAAAAACUAUCAGGACCCAGAGGAGAGAGGAAUCGGAACAGCUGGAGCUGAGCCCAGCUCCCCAUUCUUCUCUCGUCAGUGACAUCAUAGAAUCAUGGAGCCCUUGAGUUAGAGAGACCAGAGAGCCAGUCCAACCCAGUCCAUCACCUGGAGGCUGGAGAACCACGAGGCUGUUGCCUGUUCGUCCCCCUCUUCUGAGAGGUCCAGGUCACCUGCUCUGGGAGAAGCCAGUUGCCAUGUUGUAAGGACACUCAAGCAGCCCAUGGAAUGACUCACAUGCUGAAGAACUGAGCCCUCCCUCCUUCCAACAGCCAGGGAGGAACUAGGGCUUCUUGCCAAUAACCAUGUGAAGAAGCUUGGAAAUGGAUUCUCCCCCAAAUGAGUCUUCAGAUUACUUUAGACUAACAUCUUGACUGCAACCUCUAGAAAGACCCUGAGCCAGGAUCACCAAGCUCACAGAAGCUAAGAGUUAAUAAAUGUUUGAAUUAAGC
rnacentral:lncRNA from 10 species